rnacentral:rRNA from 1 species
ACGUAUGGUGCAAGCGUUAUCCGGAUUUACUGGGUGUAAAGGGUGCGUAGGUGGUGAGACAAGUCUGAAGUGAAAAUCCGGGGCUUAACCCCGGAACUGCUUUGGAAACUGCCUGACUAGAGUACAGGAGAGGUAAGUGGAAUUCCUAGUGUAGCGGUGAAAUGCGUAGAUAUUAGGAGGAACACCAGUGGCGAAGGCGACUUACUGGACUGCUACUGACACUGAGGCACGAAAGCGUGGGGAGCAAACAG